GGAUUUCUGGAAAUAAUAGGAGGAAAAGUUAGCUCUCCACUUGCCAAUCCAUUGCUCUCUGGCUGCUCAGGUUCAGAGCAUUUCAGAAAGCCAGCAGGUGAGCCCAGAUGAUGUGAUUCUGCUACCUGAAUAAAUUGGCAGUAGUUUUGGAAAAGGCUCAUCAGUGGAACAGCAAAAGUGUAAAAGUUGCCAUUAACUUUAGAUCUAAAACUCCUUUGCAGAUGGAGUAACUGCUCUUAGAUUUUUUUCUUCCUCAUGUCUGCAGGUUCUUUUAAAAGACCAUUAGCAGAAGAAAUUGCUUCAAUAUUUACCUUAAAUUGUGCCAAAUUUCUAGGAACCACCAUAUAAGUACUGCUUGAGGCAGGCAAGUAUGUUGUGGGCAGCACAGACUGAACUUGAGCUGUAAUCAGCAUAGUGAUUCUCACCCAUUUUUAGCAAAGUUGGUCCAGUAUCUCAUAACAGUUCUGCUGAGUUCAUUUUCUUCUUUUGUAGCACCUCCUGCAAAGGGAGAGAUGAAAGGGCCACAUUAGAAAAUAAAAAAUGAGUAUGAUCUAUAUCCAUUGCAACACUUCUCCUGGUUGCCCUGAGCUCUUGGAGGUGUUUCCAGGACAGAAUGAUGUAAUGGAAAGGAUCUGCUACUGAGGACAGAGGAUGUUUAUGCUCAUAGUAAUGCUUAUGAUAUAUAAGGUCCUCCAGAAUCAUCUGUGCCAUUUUCUUUUCCUUGCCCUGGUAGAGCAUGACAGCAAAGCACAGGUAUCUCCAAGUGCAUGCAGAAUGGAAGGGCAGGAACCUGUUUGCACUUGUCAGCUUCCAGGUUCUGGAAAUUGCUCCUUGCAGUUGAAGAGAAAAGAAAGGGGUGGAAGCCUGUAGUUCUCAAAUUAAAAAAACUGAAAAAAGACCUGUUUAUUUGCACACUACCAGCAUCAAACAGGAGGGGAAGAGAAGAGUAUUCAGAGUCUGGUGCCGUUUUCCAGCCAACAAGUGUAAGUUGAGGUUUUUUGAAGACACUACAUGUUACCAUAUUCCUUUCCAUUUCAUUCUGCACUCUUUGUGGAUAUUUGGGUGUUUGAAAAGCAACACAUGAUUAAACAUGUACUAUUUGCACACAGAAUUACUGUGUUUAAUGAUGGUCUGUUUUGUUUCCCAAGAAGGAAACCAUGUUUCAAUAUUUUGGAUUGAACAGUUUAAGAUAUGCAGAACUGUCAGGCAAAAGGAAUUAAAAUUACCACCAAUACCCACUUGUGCA